GGUCAGUCGUCCCUAGUCCUACACUACCGUCACCCUUGCUGUUACAACAAGUUUGCUCCUCCAUUUAUGAGAGAAACUAGGACUGCUGUCACCCUUGCUGUUACAACAGGUUUGCUCCUCUAUUUAAGAGAGAACCUAGGACAGAGUCCGACUCUUAAUCUAUUCCUAACACCUAGUACAACUCUAAUUUCUAAACUGUAACCGACUACAUACACAUAUUUGACACAAGCUUGAACAGACUCCGUCUAGGCGAAUAUGCCACGUCAACUUGAAUUUGCUCCACGUGCGAACCUCUGUGUACCAAGAUUUGAGAUGGCUACUUUUUUCGCCGCUCGCGCUGAGUUGCCCUAACGAACAUCCACUAGGCUCACUUUAAAAAGAGACUCCGCUAUCCCUGUAACUUCUUCUUCUUGACUCCACCUGCAACAAUGUUUCACCUUCUUCCAUAUCAUUACAGUCGUCUUGUCGACCAAAUUUGAAUUCCUUCCUAGCUAUCACAUCAUAGACUCUCUAAAAACCAUGUUCAUCUCCAUCUACAUAUCUCUCCACGUAUGGGUACAUCGUAGAGUUACAUGCCAAACUCUUCUUGGCAAACUAGGGGAGAGCCGAUGCAU
rnacentral:sRNA from 1 species